UGGUGGUGUGAUCUCAGCUCACUGCAACCUCUGCCUCCCAGGUUCAAGCGAUUCUCCUGCCUCAGCCUCCUAAAUAACAGAGAGGCGACGGGAUCCACAAGGUUGAAGAGGAGCACUCUGGCUGCUGUGGGGCAUUCGCCGAAGGGGUAGGGGUAGGGAGACCAGGGAGAAGGUGACUGCGUAUGUCUGAUGAGAGGACAGCAGUGGGACCAGAACUACAGCAGUGGAGAUGCUGAGAAGCUUCCCAGCAGCAAGCACCAGCCUUCCACGGCAACACGGUAUCUUCGUGCAGCUUUCCUGUUUACACUACUGCUUUUUUAUUAAAUGGUGUUCAGUUAAAAAAAAAAAAAAAAAAGAACCAAGCUAAUUUGCUGAUUAAUCAAAUUUGGGAUGUGAGAGGAAGAAGAAAAAAAAAGGAAGACUCUGCAGUUUGGAGCCUGAGCAGCUGGGAGAAUGGAGAAUACGGCUUCCUGAAUGAGGAAAGCUCGGCCAAGAGCAAGUUUGAGGAAAAGCUCAAGAGUCCAGCCUGGACCCAUCAGUGCCUUCCUGUACCCCCGUGGAGAUGCCCAGUGACCUGGAUGUGCAAGUCCAAGGCACUCAAGAAAGAGCUGUGCCUGGAACUCUUUCAUUAGCAUAUAAAUGAUGUUUAAAGUCAUGAAACUAAAGAAAUUACCAAAGGGAAGGGAGAGACAGAGGCACCAGCAAAGUAGACUGAGGAAGAGUGCCCGGAAAGGCAGGGAUUACCAGGAGCCUGCAGGAAGGAGGGCGUCCCCACCUGUGCCCCUGCCAGAGCAGGCGAGGCCUGUCUGAGAGGGACCCUUGGACCCAGCGAGGUGGAGGUCAUUUGGAAGACAAGAGCGGGCGUCUCUGGAAAGCAGGGGGAGCACUUUUUCACAGGGGUUGUGAGGCGGUGGGAGAAGAGAAAGCAGACUGGGAGCACAGAUGACUCUUCAGAGACUUGCUUUAAGGGAAAAAGAGAGGCGGGAUGUAAUAGCUACAGGAAGGGUCUUUUUGUUUUUCUGAAGUGUGGGAUAAAUAGUAAGUUUGUAAGGCCAUGGGGGAAGCUCCAAUAGGGAAGGGAGGACUAGUGGUGCCAGGGAGAGGGGGAGAAUUGCUGGAGCAAGUCCCUGCAUCUGUGGAAGCCAUCAGGACACAGUGGGAAGAGGAAGGAUUGGCCACACCUGAGAGCAUCAGAGCCACAGGCAGCCGUGGCAGUGGUGCCCAAGGUGUCCUCUCUGGAGCAUUUGUUCUCUCGGGAAGUAAGGGCUCUCUUGACUGUGGUUAGCUUUUUGUCUUAAUUCACUCUGUCAGAUACACAACUGUAAGACACUAAGAUAACUGUUUUACAAGGCACAGUGGUCGCAUCAAAGGAGUCCCUAAGCCCGAUGGGCCAGGACAUUCCAAAAAGAUUGGACAUGGUGGGAGAGGUACUUGUUUCUGGAGCUUCUGAUGGCGCUGUCACCUCCCCUGUUCCUGCCCCGCAGCACAGGCCUUGAUCCGAAGCUCUGGCUUUCUACACCUCUCUCUCCCACGGAAGUGGGAAAUAUCAGGAGUUUAAAAAAAGAACUGUUAAACUGUACAGGAUUCCAUAUGACAGGAUGCCGUUGAAAGUGUGCUGCCCAGAGAGAAGGGAACAAGGAAGCAGAUGGCAUGAAAAGAAGGGGAGAGCCUCCUUCAGUGAACCACAAACACCCAGAAGGCCAGACCAUGGCCCAGCUCUCUGGCCCGGACCCCAGGACCCAGCUGGCACAGUGCUUGUGUCCAUAAACUUUGCUGGACUGAGCCAAACCUGUGCCCUGUAUCAGAGAGCCAUAUCAGAGGCAGAUCUAUCCAAGGAGACUUUUCUGUCCCCACCUUUCUGACAUUGCUGUCCACUCUCCUUUUCAGACUUCCUUCUCUCCCAGCUUCUGUCCCAUCUUCUUGCUUUCUUUCUGCCCCUCUGGCCCUCUUGUCUCAGUACUGUGCCGUUCACAGUCUCUUCUCCAGUCACCCCUUAAACGCUGGCAUUCCAGAGGGCCCUGUCCUCGCCUUUCCAUCUGGCGUGCUCAUUCUCCCCUGCAAGCUUGAUUGCCAGUGUGCUGCUGCUGACUCCCAGGUCUCUCCAGUCCAGACCCACUGCUGAACUCUGCACCAAUGUGUCACACUCCUUACUGUACAGCCCACUUCAGCAGCUCAAGGGCACCUCGGACUCAACCUGUCCACCCUGAACUCGAGAUCUUUCCUCCUCACAUGUGCUCCUCCUCUGAUGUGCCCCACCCCAGUGCAAGGGCAGCACCUUCCACCCAUCACCCAAGCCAGAGACACAGUUGGCACAAUGGACUUCUCCCUGCCUUUACUCCCCAUCUCCAAGCUGUCUUCCCACACAGCUCAGAUUCAUUCCAAAUGGCCUAUCUUUUAUGGACCAGUCACUCCUCACCUGGUCGGUGUAGCACGCACGGAAUUUCUUGGACUUUGGCUCCGUCUUAGAGCAACCCACCUCUCCCCUCUGCACUGCUGCUGGAGUCAGCUUCCUAGAACCCUGAUGCUAUCCUCUCACUUUCCCUAGCCAGGACUCCCUUUCCCAAGCCAGCCUCUGCCUUCCUCUGCCUUCCUUCACGUAGGAAAUCUCUAUGUGAUUUCCAGAGAUUCCUGGAGACAGGAGAAGGUGUGCCCUGAUUCUGUGGGAAGCACGGAAGGAACUGGUGCAGGCUGUGUGUGUCACAGUGUUGGGUGACAACGGGAGCAGCUCACCAGUCUUGUUCUGAGCAAGAGGCUGAAGAUUGAGGGAUACAUUCCCCAUCUGUUUACCUGCCAGCUGUGCCUUGGUUCAAGGCAAAUUUUAUGUAGAAUAUAAAAUGCUAUUACAGAAAAAGUGUCAUAAGACUUUAUUCAAGAUUUUCAAUGUCAUAGUUUUUGGUUUCAUAAUGACAAAUAUAUUUUAAAUGUUUUUUAAUCAAGUGAGUCACAUAAUAACAUAUCAUUAAUGUGUUAUAUAUUUUGUUAUCACAUAUAAUUACAUAAACAAAUUGGUCAAUUGAACAAAAUAAAGAAUCCAGAAAUAGAUUUACACAUAUUUGGUAAAUUGAUUUUUGACAAAGGUGCGAAGGCAGUUCAAUAGCAAAAUAAGAGUCUUUUUUAACAAAUGAUACCAGAAUAAUUGGAUAGACAUGUGCAAAAAAAAUUUUUUUUGAGAAGGAGUUUAGCUCUUGUUGCCCAGGCUGAAGUUCAGUGGCGCGAUUUUGGCUCACGGAAACCUCCGCCUCCUGGGUCCAAAUGAUUCUCCUGCGUCAGCCUCCCGAGUAGCUGGGAUGACAGGUGCAUGCCACCAUGCCCGGCUAACCAAAAACUUUGUUCCAUACCUCACAUUCAUUCAUUCAUUCAUUCAUUUUUCUUCAAAGCAUUCACUCAUUUAUUCAGAAUAUAUAAAUAAGAAGUACAAUAUGUCAGGUAUUGUUUUAGAGGAGGAAGACACUAUCCUUGCCCAUCCCCAUCCCAGGAUUCUUGACACAUAAACAAAUUGGUGCAAUGUGCUAUAAGAGAUGUGUAGGGGAAUAAGAGUACCAAGAAAGAAGCCAUGAGGUUAUGGGUGUUUGUGGGGCUGAGGAUACAAGAAGUGUUUCCUGUAGGAGAUAAUGAUAAUAUGUGUUUAGUCUACUAUGUAUUCUUAAUCUAUAUUUGUAAAACAAUGGUCCACAUAAUGAUAUCUGACUUGUACAAAAUAUCUUUUAGGGACAGUAGUUUUUAUGCUGGCAAAUUAAAAUUAUGCAAGAACUCUGGGA